AAACUUCAUCCUUUCUGUUUUCGUAUAUCCUUAAUAAUACGGUUUGAGGGUCUCUACCGAGGAACCGGAAAUUCCCGGCUACGAAAAAAUAUGCAUGCAUA
rnacentral:ncRNA from 2 species